AUCCAAGCUAAAGUCCACUCCUGACACUGUACAUGCAAAAGAGGCACAGAGAGAUUCUCCUUACCAGCGCUUGGGUGGAUGCUUGGUCUAUAGCUGCUACCGACAUUGAGCUCCUGUACAAAGGUGCGUUCGUGGAACAGGGUCUGAAGGCGCUCCUGGGCGUAGUUGUGGCACAGCUCCUCGAAGGUGGCACCGCGCUGGCGCUUGGCCAUUCGAGGGUUCUGGAAACCCGGUGUGUCCACGAUGAGCAGAGAGCACAGAGAGUGCUGACUGGACUUCAGAGCUCUGACACAUGAUACAAAGACUGGUGGUCUCUGAAGGUCCCUUACCUGAGCUGUCUCCUGCGCCGGCCUCGUCGGGCCCCCCGCGGAAGGAGGUGGACCUCUGCAGGGCACCCUUGACCUGGUGCUUGAAGAUGGAUGAGGAGAGCUCCUCCAGGGUGCAGCCCAGCAGGUAGGCAGCCUUCUGGGCCCACUCAUGACGGGCAAACUGCUUACGGCCAGCUGGGGACCAGGGACAGCAUACACAAGUCAGAACCCCUAAUCACUGGCUAUUAUAAUUAACUCAAUGAUCUCUUCCAUACUGUAGCUCAAUGCUAAACACAUUGCUUUGUGACUAAGUUGGUUGGAGCAUAGUUUUUUUCUAUCCCAAUAAAGCUAUAUUAAUAAACGCUAACAAACAACUCCAUCUUUUGAGCUUUGAGGCCUCCUCUACCUAGACUGGAAUAACCACCUUGGCUCAAAGAGCAGGAUUGAACUGAACAAUCUGAGACUAGACUGCUAAGCACUGUUAGCUGGUUUUACAACAACUCUCCGUCAUCCCAUGUUACUGGCUCAGUGUGGCUGAUCACUCCCACUGUUUUCUGGAGAGCUUUCAAAGCUACAGAGACAGCGACUCAAUAUGGUCGCCUCUAACCUCUCAUCAAACAACACUCUGCCACAGAGUCCAAGAAAAACAUUCUAGACCAGAGAGACAGUUAGAACAUAGAGAAUCAAAACAAUGUUCUGACACAAACAACCAGAAAGUAAGUUCCCCUGUGGGUUGGGAGGGGGUUCCAACAGGUUCAAAUGAACAAGCUUUGCUUUUGGUUCGGGUCUGAAUAAUAAUAACAGUGCUGUGGAAUUGGAAGUAGGCGACAUGGAGAGACAUCAGACAGAGAGCUUUAAGGGACAACAAAGUUCUGAUUCAUGAGGCAAAGGAAGAGAGAGAGAGA